GCCUGGGUCACGUGACAAGGCUGGCGCUUGUCUAAAGCUACGGUUCGCCCACGUGACUGUCUCCGGCGGAGAGGGGCGGGGUGUAGAACCAAGAAGUCCCUGUGCGCUUGCGCAGAAGCCGAACUACCGCUUUCCACGUAACCAGGGAGUCUGCAGUUUGCAGUGAUGUGGCUAAGAUACCCUUGUGCUAUUACUUUAAAGGAACAUUUACGUAUCUUUCAACGCAGUUUGUACCUUUGUUCAGGGUUCUGUUGAACUUUCUCUGUACUCUUUAGAAAACCUUCGAAUAAAUGUAACCAUCUUUUUGGGUGCCUGGGCAUGGUCAUUCUCCCAGAGUUUUAACAACUCAAAUGAUGCUGUUUUUGGACAGGGAGGCCAUGGGCCAAGUACAGAGAGGCAACAGGAUGGAAUUAAGAUGUUUCCAGUGAAAGAAAGAAGAAAGCAUCCUUUUCUCUUGACUGUGCAGAAAAAAAUUCUGUGUUUCUUUGAUUCUCCAUUUUACUAGAUGCCAUACCUUUGUAAUUACUUCAUGUGGAGUCUUGACCAAGAUUCAGGAAAUACUAGAACUUUCAGUCCCAGAGGGUUACUCUAGGCAUUACUAGUUUCCGUCAUUAUGAGUUGAGUUUUACUAGUUAAUUUCAGAUGAAAAACAUUUGUUUUUCCCCAGAUUCUGGGGUUGUGUACUUUUACUACCUAUGAACUGACAACUGUAUCUCCAGUAAUUACAAUUUCCAACAAAAUGUUAUAGGAAUAAAGAAAAGAUGUUAGUUCAUUAUUCCUUUAAUAAAAGGAAAUGGUCUGUA